ensembl:lncRNA
GAGCUAAUGUAUAAAUGUAUUUGGUUACACAGUACAAGUUUGACAAGGGUUAAGUGUUCAAUCCGAUUAUUAUUUUCAUGAUGAUAAAUAUUAAUGUUAUUAUAAACACUUUUAAGUAACAUUCAAUUAGAUAAAAUUCAAAGUGAUUUGAAACACAUAAAUUUCUUUGCCCCCAUUUCUCUUAAUCCUCCAGGGCUUUGCUAGGCUCUACCCUCAGGCAAAAAUAUCUUUUGCUUUGAAGUUCAUUUUAUUUCAUUAUACCUCCCUGGAUUUAUUAGUGUGGCCUAUUAAUGUUUAGGUUAUUUAUUUUCAUUUAUUAAGGCCUUUCUAUAAGAUAUUCUCUUUCUUCUUUAACUUCUUUCCAGAAUUCCUAAUGUCUGCAGAAUGGACAAAGGCUAACCCAUCCUCAAUCCUGGAUUCCUCUUUAAAACAGUGCAGCAAAAGAGAAGGGAGACAUUCAUUCCCUCCAUCUGAAACGACCAUGGAGAAAAUAGAGUCGAGGUGUAAUAGAGCUUAAAAUCAACUUUAUUAAAUUGAAUUUCUCCAGAAUUGAGAAGACAUCUCACUUUUUCUAUAGCCUUCAGGUGCUAAAAUGACAUGCCCCAGGGAAGUAUCUGAGCAAGUCAUAGCAAAAUGUUACCAUUUUGCCUCUGGUUGGAGCACUAGAAAUCCUGCCACUCAGUUCUACUCAAGCAGAGAGGAAGACAAGAACUCCCACUGGAGAUCCCUAACCUCUGACUUCAGCCACCCUUUAGACUGGAAAGCAAAUAAGCUGGACAGACUAAACGCUAUACCCUGGAAGCUCUUUCUUUCCCUGACCUCAAGUUUGCUUUCAACAUCAAGGAAACAACUCUGGACUCAAAAUCAAGAAACCACUCAUAGACACAGAGGGUAUUUUCCAGUAAGUAUAUUCCUAGUCUUAAAAAGUAUCAGAGGGCCAGCUAAAAUUCCUAUCACAUAUUUUACAAGAUCUACAUGCAUCCUGCAUAUCAACUUGGCUAUCUGAGUGUCACUUUAUGGGGUUGGCAGAACAAAUAUCUCACCAAAGAUCAUGUCUAAAUCACUGGAAUUUAUAAAUAUUGUAACUUGUGUGGAAAAGAGGGCAUGGCAAAUGUGAUUAAGGUUAUGGUGUGGAGAUUAUUCUGGAUUAUCUAUGUGACCACAACCUAAUCAUGAGUCCUUAAAAGCAGAGAAACUUUCCUGGUGAUCAGAGAGAAAUGUGACCGGAAGUUCAGAGAGAUGUAACAUAAGAACAAUGUGUCUCUCUACUUCUAGUUCUGUGAUGUGUGGGGGCUACAUCCAAAGACUAGAGAGAGUUUUCUAGGACUUGAGAAUGGCCUCUAGCUAAUAGCCAGCAGGAAAAUGGGGACCUCUGUCCUUCAACUGCAAGAAACUAAAUUCUGCCAACAGAAGAAUGAGUAGAGAAACAGAUUCUUCCUGCAGCUUGCAAGAAGGAACACAGUUGUGCUGUCACUUUUUUUAUUCUAGGGAGACCUAUACCAGACUUCUGACCUACAACAACCCUAAGAUAAUAAAUAAAAUUGUAUGGUUUUAACUCA